rnacentral:rRNA from 1 species
UGAGGAAUAUUGGUCAAUGGGCGAGAGCCUGAACCAGCCAAGUAGCGUGCAGGACGACGGCCCUAUGGGUUGUAAACUGCUUUUAUGUGGGGAUAAAGUGCGUGACGUGUCAUGCAUUGCAGGUACCACAUGAAUAAGUAUCGGCUAACUCCGUGCCAGCAGCCGCGGUAAUACGGAGGAUACGAGCGUUAUCCGGAUUUAUUGGGUUUAAAGGGUGCGUAGGUGGCUGAUUAAGUCAGUGGUGAAAAGCUAUGGCUCAACCAUAGUCUUGCCGUUGAUACUGGUUAGCUUGAGUGUAGAUGAUGUAGGCGGAACGUGUAGUGUAGCGGUGAAAUGCAUAGAUAUUACGCAGAACUCCGAUUGCGAAGGCAGCUUACAAAACUACUACUGACACUGAGGCACGAAAGCGUGGGUAUCAAACAGG